rnacentral:tRNA from 1 species
CGCUCAAGGGUUGAGCGGCGGCGAAAGCCGUAGCUGGUACGAAAAUCCGUAGGGCCGAAAGGCUCGUGGGGGUUCGAGUCCCCCCGCCCGCACCA